rnacentral:lncRNA from 1 species
AAAAUGUUUAAAUUCACUUGAAACUAGGCGUAUGCAAAUUAAAACCACUCAGAUACCAUUUAUCACUUUCCAGACUCCAUGAAAUGUAAAAAUAUGGCAAUACAUUCUGUUGGGAAGGCUGUGGGAAAAUAGGUACAUUCAUACAUUGCUGAUGGGAAUGCAAAAGUUUAUUAGUUGCAAUAUUGUUCUUAGUUGCAAAGUAUUGGAAGCAACCUAAAUUCCCAUCCACAGGAGAGUGAUUUAAUAAACUAUAGCAUGUCAUGCAGUGGAAUAUUAAAUAGGUAUAAGAAAAGAAUGAGGAAGAGCUCUAUGAACUAAUAUGGAGUGAUUUCCAAGAUGGACUGUCAAAUGAAAAAAGCAAAGCACAAAAGAGUAUCCAUAGCAUGCUACCUUCAUGUAGGAAAGAAAGGAUAUAGAAAGUAAAUAGUUAUCUGCUCAUUUGUUCAAAAGAAAUACAGGAAAGAUAAAAUACUAGUAAGGCUGAUUACCUAGAGGGAAAGGAAUAAAGAAGGAAAUGAGGUUAGCAAGGAUGAAGUACAGUAACAUUUCUUUGAUUAUAUCUUUCUGUGUAGCUCUGACUCUUGGAAUCAUAAUUAUGUCUCACAUACCCUUCACAUAAUCCCAAAUAAAUAAAUGAUAAAACCAACCAAGAAGUGUGGGAAACCCUAAAUGGAAUACAAAUACUAACAAAUGAAAGUAAAUGUAUUAAGAAUGAAUAACAACCACAGUUAAGCAAGUGAGGAAGAAAAUAACUAGGUAACUCUAAGUAUCUUUUCUGGGCAAUAAAAGGCUAAUGACAAAAAGAAUGGUACUAAAGUGCUGUAAUCUAGUUAGUAAAAGGGUUUCUUGCAGGGGUAUGAAUUAGUGCUACUGAAGCUACCUUUACAUGUACAUUAGAAUUGAACAACUAAGUACAUAUAUUGUAGAUAAUAAGAGCCAGGUUUCUCACUGUUGGAGAAAGACUUAUUAAAAGAAAGGAGGUAGGCCAAAAUACACCCUGUAAUGUUGGAUUGGAGUAAGAGGUGUCAGUAUAAAUUAAUGGUUCUUAAUAUAAAUGUAGACAGAUUAAGAAAUAUACAUGUGACUAUAUCUGUGGCAUAGUAUAUACAUUUAUACAUUUCCUAACUCUUAAAGGGCCUAGAAGCAGUGAAACUUCAGAGUAAUGAGCACAUUUAACACCAGAUCUUGUUUUUUAUCUUCUUUUUUUACUUUAAACUUUUUAUUUUUAAUUUUUGUGAGUACAUAGUAGGUGUAUAUAUUCAUGGAAUACAUGAGAUAUUUUAAUAUAGGCAUGUAAUGAGAAAUAAUCACAUCAUGAAGAAUAGGGUACCCACCUUUUCAAACAUUUAUCCUUUGUGUUACAAGAAAUCCAGUUACACUCUUCUAGUUAUUUUAAAAUGUUCAAUCAACUUAUUGUUGACUAGAGUCAUGCUAUUGUGCUAUCAAAUAGUAGGUCUUAUUCAUUCUUUCUAUUUUUAUGUAUCCAUUAACAAUCCCUACCUCCCCCUCCAGUGCCCAAGUACCCUUCCCAGCCUCUGAUAACUAUCCUACUAUCUCCAUGAGUUCAAUUGUUUUGAUUUUUAGAUCUCAUAAAUAAGUGAGAACAUGCAAUGUUUGUCUUUCUGUGUCUGGCUUAUUUCACUUAACAUAAUAACCUCCAGUUCCAUCCAUGUUGUUGCAAAUGACAGGGUGUCAUUCUUUUAAUUACUGAAUAGUACUCCAUUGUGUAAAUGCACUACAUUUUAUUUAUCCAUUCAUUUGUUGAUAGACACUUAGGUUGCUUCCAAAUCUUGCCUAUUGUGAACAUUGUGGCAACAAACAUGGAAGUUCAGAUAUCUCUUCAAUAUACUGAUUUCUUUUUUUGGAGGGUACAUACCCAGCAGUGGGAUUUCUGGAUAUAUGGUAGCUCUAUUUUUAUUUUUUUCAGGAACCUCCAAACUGUUCUCAAUAGUAGUUGUGCUAAUGUACAUUCCCACCAACAGUGUAGGAGAGUUCCCUUUCUCCACAUCCUAGCCAGCAUUUGUUAUUGCCUGUCUUUUGGAUAAAAACCAUUUUAACUGGGGAGAAAUGAUAUCUCAUUGUAGUUUUGACUUUCAUUCUCUGAUGAUCAGUGAUGUUGAACACAUUUUCAUAUGCCUGCUUGCUAUUUGUAUGUCUUCUUUUGAGAAAUGUGUAUUCAAAUCUUUUGCUCAUUUUUUGAUCAGAUUUUUUUUUCCUGUUGAGUUGUUAGAGCUCCUUACGUAUUCUGGUUUUUAAUCCCUUGUCAGAUGGGUAGUUUGCAAAUAUUUUGUCCCAUUCUGGAGGUUGUCUCUUCACUUUGUUGAUUGUUUCCUUUGCUGUGCAGAAGCUUCUUAACUUGAUGUGAUCCCAUUUGUCCGUUUUUGCUUUGGUUGUCUGUGUUUGUGGGGUACUACUCAAGAAAUUUUUGCUCAGACAAAUGUCCUGGAGAUUUUCAUCAAUGUUUUCUUAUAGUAGUUUCAUAGUUUGAGGUCUUAGAUUUAAUCCUUUAGUCUACUUUGUAUAUGACUUUUGUAUAUGGCGAGAAAUAGGAGUCUAGUUUCAUUCUUCUGCAUGUGGAUAUCUAGUUUCCCAGAACUAUUUACUGAAGAGAAUGUCUUUUCCCCAGUAUAUUUUCUUGGCACCUUUGUCAAAAAUGAGUUCACUGUAAAUGUGUGGAUUCGUUUCCAGGUUCUCUGUUCUGUUCCAUGGGUCUGUCUGGUUUUAUGCCAAUGCCAUGCUGUUUUGGUUAUUAUAGUUCUGUGGCAUAAUUUAAAGUCAGGUAAUAUGAUUCCUCCAGUUUUGUUCUUUUUGCUUAAGAUAGCUUUGGCUCUUCUUGGUCUUUUGUGGUUCCAUAUAAGUUUUUGGAUAGUUUUUUUUUCUAUUUCUGUGAUGAAUGUCAUUGGUACUUUGAUAGGGAUUGCAUUGAAUCUAUAGAUUGCUUUAGGUAGUUUGGACUUUUUUUUUUUUUUUUUUUUUGAGACGGAGUCUCGCUGUGUCUCCCAGGUUGGAGUGCAGUGGCGCGAUCUCGGCUCACUGCAAGCUCCGCCUCCCAGGUUCAUGCCAUUCUCCUGCCUCAGCCUCCCAAGUAGCUGGGACUACAGGCGCCCGCCAACACGCCCGGCUAAUUUUUUGUAUUUUUAGUAGAAAUGGGGUUUCACCGUGUUAGCCAAGAUGGUCUCGAUCUCCUGACCUUGUGAUCCGCCCGUCUCGGCCUCCCAAAGUGCUAGGAUUACAGGCGUGAGCCAGGACAUUUUUAACUAUAUUGAUUCUUUUGCUCCAUGAACGUGGAAUUUUUAUUUUGGUGUUCUCUUCAAUUUCUUUCAUCAGUGUUUUAUAGUUUUUAUUAUAGAGGUCUUUCACUUCUUUGAUUAAUUCCUAGAUAUUAAUUUUAUUUGUAGCUAUCGUAAAUGGGAUUACUUUUUUCAUAUUGUUCACUGUUUGCCUAUAGAAAUGCUACUGAUGUUGAUUUUUUAUGUUGUUUUUGUAUCCUGGAACUUUACUGAUUUUUUAAAUUAGUUCUAAUAGUUUUUUGGUGGAGUCUUUAAGCUUUUUGACUAUAAGAUCAUAUCAUCUGCAAACAAAAAUAAUUUGACCUCUUCCUGUCCAAUCUGGAUGCCCUUUAUUUCUUUCUCUUGGCUGACUUCUCUAGCUAGAACUUCCAGUACUAUGCUGAAUAACAGUGGUGAAAGUGGGCAUCCUUAUUGUGUUCCAGAUCUUAGAGGAAAGGCUUUCAGUUAUUCCCCAUUCAGUAUGAUACUAGCUAUGGGACCAUCAUAUAUGGCUUUUUUAAAUGUUGAAGUGUGUUCCUUCUAUCCCAAGUUCUUUGAGGGUUUUUGUCAUGAAAGAUGUUGAAUUUUAUCAAAUACUUUUUCAGUAUCAAUUGAAAUGAUCAUAUCAUUUUUAUCUUUCAUUCUGUUGAUAUGAUGUGUCAUGUUAAUCGAUUUGUGUAUGUUGUACCAUCCUUGCAUCCCAGGGAUAAAUCCCACUUAGUCAUGAUGAAUUAUCUUUCUAAUAUAUUGUUGGAUUUGGCUUGUUAGUAUUUUGAUGAGUAUUUUUGCAUCAAUAUUCAUCAGAGAUAUUGGCCUGUAGUUUUCAUUUUUCAUGUGUCUUUGUCUGGUUUUGGUAUCAGGGAAAUACUGGCCUCAUAGAAUGAGUUUGGAAGUAUUCCUUCCUCCUCAUUUUUUCAGAAUAGUUUGAGUGAGAUUGGUAUUAGUUCUUCUCUCGAUGCUUGAUAGAAUUGAGUAGUGAAGCCAUUGGGUCUUGGGCUUUUCUUUACCGGAAGACUUUUUAUUAUGACUUUGAUCUUACUAUUUUUAUUGGUCUUUUCAGAUUUUGGAUUUCUUCAUAGUUCAAUCUUGGAACAUUAUAUGUGUCUAGGAAUUUGUUCAUGUUCUCAGGUUUUCUAAUUUAUUGGCAUAUAGUUGCUCAUAGUAGCCUCUAAUGAUCCUUUGAAUUUCUGCAGUAUCAGUUGUAAUGCUCCUUUUUCAUUUCUGAUUUUAUUAAUUUGUGUCUCCUUUUUUCUUCUUAGUCUGGCUAAAGGUUUGUAAAUUUUGUUUAACUUUUCAAAAAACCAUUUUGUUUCAUUGAUCUUUUGUAUUUUCUCUAUUUCAAUUUCAUUUAUUUCUGCUCUUUAUUAUUUCUUUUCUUCUACUAAUUUUGGGUGAGGUUUGCUCUUGCUUUUCUAGUUCUUUAAGAUGCAUUGUUAGAUUGUUUAUUUGAAGUUUUCCCCUUUUUGAUGUAGGCACUUAUAGCUAUAAACUUCACUCUUAGUACUGCCUUUGUUGUAUCCUGUAAGUUUUGGUAUGUUGUGUUUCCAUUAUCACUUGUUUCAAGAAAUUUUUCAAUUUCCUUUUUAAUUUCUUCAUCAACCCACUGGUCAUUCUGGAGCAUAUUGUUUAAUUUCCAUGUAUUUGUAUAGUUUUCAAGGUUCUUCUUGUUAUUAAUUUCUAGUUUUAUUCCAUUGUGAUCAGAGAAGAUGCUUGAUAUUAUUUCAAUUUUUUUGAAUGUUUUAAGACUCGUUUUGUUACCUAAAAUAUGGUAUAUCCUUGAGAUUUAUUCAUGUAUUGAGGAGAAGCAUGUGUAUUCUGCAGCCGAGGGAUGAAAUGUUCUAUAAUUAUCUGUAAGUCCAUUUGGUCAAUAGUGCAGAUUAGGUCUGAUGUUUCUUUGUUGAUUUUCUGUCUGAAAGAUAUGUCCAAUGCUGAAUAUUGGGUGUUCAAGUCUCCAGCUAUUAUUGUAUUAGGGUCUAUCCCUCGCCUUAGCUCUAAUAAUAUUUGGUUUAUAUAUCUGGGUGCUCAAGGCAUGCAUAUUUAAAAUUGUUAUAUCCUCUUGCUGAAUUGACCUCUUUAUCAUUAUAGAAUGACCUUCCUUGUCUCUUCUGAUAGUUUUUGUCUUGUAAUAUAUUUUGUAUGAUAUAAGUAUAGCUACUCAUGCUCUUUUUGGGUUUCCAUUGGAAUGGAAUAUCUUUUUCCAUCCCUUUAUUUGUAGUCUAUAUGUGUCUUUAUAGUUGAAUUGUGUUUCUUGUAGGCAACAGAUUAAUGAAUAUUGUUUUUUCAUCCACUCAGCCAUUCUCUUUUAAUUGGAGAGUUUAGUCCAUUUACAUUCAAUGUUAUUAUUGAUAAGUAAGAGCUUACUCUGGCCAUUUUGUUAUUUGUUUUCUGGUCUUCUCCUCCUUCUUUCUUUCCUCCUGUCUUCCUUUAGUGAAGGUAGUUUUUUCUGGUGAUAUGAUUUAGUUUCUUGCUUUUUAUUUUUUGUGUAUUCAUUGUAUGUUUUUUGUUUGAGAUCACCGUGAAGCUUGCAAAUACCAUCUUUUAAACCAUUAUUUCAAUCCGAUAACUACUUAACACUGUGUGUAUAAACAAACAAAGAAGCAAAAACAAAGCUAAUAAAAAGUAUAUGCCUUAACUUCAUCCUUCAACUUUUUAACUUUUUCCUGUUUCUAUGUAUAUCUUAUUGUACUAUGUCAUUAAAAGUUAUUGCUAUUUGUGA